AUUGAACGCUGGCGGCAGGCCUAACACAUGCAAGUCGAGCGGAUGAAGGGAGCUUGCUCCUGGAUUCAGCGGCGGACGGGGGAGUAAUGCCUAGGAAUCUGCCUGGUAUUGGGGGAUAACGUCCGGAAACGGGCGCUAAUACCGCAUACGUCCUGAGUGAGAAAGUGGGGGAUCUUCGGACCUCACGCUCUCAGAUGAGCCUAGGUCGGAUUAGCUAGUUGGUUGGGUAAAGGCCUACCAAGGCGACGAUCCGUAACUGGUCUGAGAGGAUGAGCGGUCACACUGGAACUGAGACACGGUCCAGACUCCUACGGGAGGCAGCAGUAGGGAAUAUUGGACAAAGGGCGAAAGCCUGAUCCAGCCAUGCCGCGUGUGUGAAGAAGGUCUUCGGAUUGUAAAGCACUUUAAGUUGGGAGGAAGGGCAGUAAGUUAAUACCUUGCUGUUUUGACGUUACCAACAGAAUAAGCACCGGCUAACUUCGUG
rnacentral:rRNA from 1 species